GUGAACGCUAGCGGUGCGCCUAACACAUGCAAGUCGAGUGGGUUUAGACCCACGGCGAACGGCUGCGUAACACGUUGGUACCUGCCCCGAACUCAGGGAUAACCCGCCGAAAGGCGGAGUAAUACCGGAUGCCCUCGCAAGAGGAAAGAUUUAUCGGUUCGGGAGGGGCCUGCGGCCUAUCAGUUAGUUGGUGAGGUAACGGCUUACCAAGACGAUGACGGGUAGCUGGUCUGAGAGGACGACCAGCCAGAAUGGAACUGAGACACGGUCCAUACUCCUACGGGAGGCAGCAGUGAGGAAUCUUCCGCAAUGGGCGCAAGCCUGACGGAGCGACACCGCGUGGAUGAUGAAGCCCUUCUUGGGUGUAAAAUCCUGUUCUGAGGGACGAAAUUUUUGACGGUACCUCAGGAGAAAGCAUCGGCUAACCCUGU
rnacentral:rRNA from 1 species